rnacentral:precursor_RNA from 1 species
AGCAAGGUGAAGAAACUGAGGUGAGGAGGAGGUAGGAGAAGAGAAGCGAGCGGAGAAGCAAAGAAGAGUGGCAAGCAGAGAGCAUGUCCAGCUGACUCAUGUGUGAAGAGGGUGAGAAUCACAGUGCGGUUCUCCUCUGGCACGAAGGCUGGCCAGAGCAGCUUA